GACCAGACUCCUACGGGAGGCAGCAGUGAGGAAUAUUGGUCAAUGGGCUUACGCCUGAACCAGCCAAGUCGCGUGAGGGAAGACUGCCCUAUGGGUUGUAAACCUCUUUUGUCAGGGAGCAACGCCGGCUACGUGUAGCCGGACUGAGAGUACCUGAAGAAAAAGCAUCGGCUAACUCCGUGCCAGCAGCCGCGGUAAUACGGAGGAUGCGAGCGUUAUCCGGAUUUAUUGGGUUUAAAGGGUGCGCAGGCGGAUUUUUAAGUCAGCGGUCAAAUCGUGGGGCUCAACCCCAUCCAGCCGUUGAAACUGGGGAUCUAGAGUGUGCGAGAGGUAUGCGGAAUGCGUGGUGUAGCGGUGAAAUGCGUAGAUAUCAGGAGGAACACCGGCGGCGAAGGCGGCUUACUGGACUGUAACUGACGUUGAGGCUCGAAGGCGUGGGGAGCAAACAGGAUUAGAUACCCGUGUAAG
rnacentral:rRNA from 1 species